rnacentral:rRNA from 1 species
UACGAAGGGGCUAGCGUUGCUCGGAAUCACGUGGCGUAAAGCGCACGUAGGCGGAUUGCUAAGUCAGGGGUGAAUCCUGGAGCUCAACUCCAGAACUGCCUUUGAUACUGGCGACCUUGAGUCCGGGAGAGGUGAGUGGAACUGCGAGUGUAGAGGUGAAAUUCGUAGAUAUUCGCAAGAACACCAGUGGCGAAGGCGGACUCACUGGCCCGGUACUGACGCUGAGGUGCGAAAGCG